UAAGGAAUAUUGGUCAAUGGACGGAAGUCUGAACCAGCCAUGCCGCGUGCAGGAAGACGGCCCUACGGGUUGUAAACUGCUUUUGCAGGGGAAUAAACCUCGAUACGAGUAUCGAGUUGAAUGUACCUUGAGAAUAAGGAUCGGCUAACUCCGUGCCAGCAGCCGCGGUAAUACGGAGGAUCCAAGCGUUAUCCGGAUUUAUUGGGUUUAAAGGGUGCGUAGGCGGCUUUUUAAGUCAGGGGUGAAAGACGGUAGCUCAACUAUCGCAGUGCCCUUGAUACUGAAGAGCUUGAAUGUACUUGAGGUAGGCGGAAUGUGACAAGUAGCGGUGAAAUGCAUAGAUAUGUCACAGAACACCAAUUGCGAAGGCAGCUUACUAAAAGUAUGAUUGACGCUGAGGCACGAAAGUGUGGGGAUCAAAACA
rnacentral:rRNA from 1 species